CGUUCCCGGGCCUUGUACACACCGCCCGCCACACCACGAAAGUCGGCAACACCCGAAGUCAGUGGCCCAACCCGCAAGGGGGGGAGCUGCCGAAGGUGGGGUUGGUGAUUGGGGUG
rnacentral:rRNA from 1 species